AUGGAAGUCUCAUCAUUGGCAUAUGUUCUGAACUGUUUGUAGAGAGUUAUAGCACUUAGGACUUUAAGGGAAUGAGAGAAAGGGGAUGAAAUGAAUCAAUCCGUGUUAAUAACCUGCAUUCAGAAAGCUUACUGAGAGACUAACAUUUGAAUUCAGAGAGCCUUUAAAAUGCUAAACAUACAUGGCAUUGGGUAUUUUAUAAUUGGUUAUUUUUGCUGCAGACAGUUAUUGUUACCUGAGAAUUUCUUGUGGCAUGAAUUAGCUGAGAAUCCUCUUUUCUGAGAGGAAAAGGUCAAACGACUUGUACCCCUGAGCUUGAACAUUCAGGUUCAGAACACUGGAGUAUAGUGCAAAUACAUGGUUUGGUGGUGAAAACUUAUAUUGGGAUGAGAGGAAACAAAAGGACAGCAUACAGAAACACUGCUGAUUCUAAGGCCUCCGUGUUUUUGUUUUCACUUUUCUAUUCUAUUAUAAACUGAUGAGAUUGUCUCCCUUGGUCAUCCUCGGACAUUGUUGACUGUAGGUUUACCUAAAUGCAAUAUUGAACAAGGAGACCUCAGAACAAUGUUGGAUUAGAAUGUUAGUAGUUUUUUUUUGUUUGUUUGUUUUUUUAAGAGUUGUGCUUCCAUUUUCUAGACGUUUUUAUAUUACACAUUAACUAGUUCACCCCCCUGAUGGAACUAAACUAUGAUGGAGUGACUGAGGAGAAAACAAUUGAUGCCAGAAACCUGCAUUAUUUAUUUCUUAACAAUAAUUCCUCACUUGUCACAUUGUCUUUGGUAUAUCUGACAAGAGGCCACUACCUUAGUCAAUUAUAUCACUUGCAUCUUUUUUUUCCAGGCACUUUAAAGAUCAAUUUCUGGGUAAUCAAUUUGAUCCUACAGGCAAUCAGAUUGGUCUCUGGUUGCUUCUGGAUUGUAAGAUUAAACCUAGCACACAGGAUACCUCUGUACACAGCCCUCCUUUGCCUUUCUACUUAUUUCCAGCCAUUGCUAGAAGCAGUUCAUCUUAGAGUUUUAAGAAUCUUCAGUUGAAUCUCUUCUACAAUAUCCCUAUCCACCGACUAUCCGAGCCAUGGAUUUGGCUGACUGUUAAAAUGUUCUUUCUCAUGGAAAAUGUGCUGCUAUGAGAGGCUACUUAGUUUUACCCUCUUGGCCCCUUGUGGUAUAAGUUCUCCACCACAUGGCAGCUCUUAGAAAACUAAAGACAGAUGCGUUUAAAGUAAGUGAUAGAUUUCUUACCUCAUUUUCUCAUCAGAUUCAAAAAUAAUAGUUAUGAGCUUCCUGCUUUAGCGUUCAUCAUUCCAACCCCUUUGGCCACCAACUCCACCUCUUUCUUCAUGUGUCCUCUUAUUGUUACUUCUACAUCAUAAGAUAAUUUAAUACAGGGCAUUGGUUGAAUAUGAGUUGGAGAACUGAAAAAAGCAAAAGACAAAUACACAGAGGUAAUGAAUUCAGGAUGCAGUUAUUGCUUGAGGUCUGGGGACACACAAGAAAGUCUGCUAUUUGGUGAAGAAGCGCCAUAGGGCUGAGGUUGAGAGGGUGCUGUCUGGACUGCUCCUGCUUUCUCAGGAGCCUCAAGAGGAGGUUUGUGGAGGUGGCCCUCGGCCUUCUGAAGGCUAAUGAUACACUUCAGCAGCUCAGGACCGAGCCUCGUGAUGCUGGCAAUCAGACAACUGGGAAGACGAUGGUGCGCACAGGUGCUGGCACCUUAGCGGCUUGAAGACUCAGCACUUGAGCUUGGGGAGCUGCUUGCUUAGUGGUCUUAUCCAGGGUCAGAGGGUUCUGAGAGUACCUGAGGAAGCCAGAGCACCCUUUCUAGACUUUCCGUCACCCUCCAGCACCUCCUGUCUGCAGAACCUAACAGGAAGCCAACUGGCAAAGGAAAAAUAGAUUUUGUAGACUUCCAGCCCCAGUUACCCAAAACAGAAUAAAGAAGGAUGGAUUUAGAACUGAGAGAAAAUGACCCAGAAAAUCACUUUCAAAAAUUCAUUUUUCUAAACUUUAGUUAGAAACUCAAAUAAAGGUGGAUCAAUUUCAAUUAUAUUUUUAAGGAAGGAUAAAAUUCCUAAUGUGAAUGUUUGCCUGUUUAUCCAUAUGCAGCGCACAGGAAGAAUGGCUGCAGUUGUUCCUAGUUAUUUUACUUGGGAUUUUUUUGUUGUUGUUGUACUCACCUGUAAAUCAAAUUUCCUCUAGCUUGAAGAUUAUGAAUUUCUUCUUUGGAGACUCCUUCAUGUCUCAAAUGUAUUCCCUCUAGUGUCUAAUUUCAUGGAAUACAGAAUAUGAGUACACUUAACUACUAAAACCCAAAUUACCAAAAUAGAAACACUACAGAUGAACUCCCCUGGGAAGUUAAAAUUGAAGUGAAAUUAACACCACUGACCUCAUUCAAAACUUUCCUUGUCACAAUGCUAAGGAUGAAAAAUAUUUAUAUUGAUGUUGAAAUACAGCCUUCUCUCUUUGAAGAAAAGUGACAGGACAUUUUUUUUUCAUGUAAUAGCCUUGAUUUUCUCUUUCGUAUGAGAGGAUAGCACUGGUUUUAAAUUCAUGCUUCGGGUAUGCAAAGAAAGAAAGCCUUGCCAUUUUGAAAAUGAUCUUGAAAAUGCUUUCUCCCUUUUUUCUUGGUGUAAAAAUAAGGGCACUGAUCUGCGAAUUGACAUUACCUGUUUCUAGUCCUAACUCUGCCAUUAAAGACUGAGACCAUUUGCAGGUAGCUCUUUGAGCCUCAGGUUUCUCCUGCGUGGAAGAGGAGCAUAUGGGCAAUAAUCUCUAAGCUUUCUCACUUUAAUAGCCUGAACAGAAUGAGACACUCUAGGAUGUUCUUGUUUUUAUUUUCUCUUUUAGAAGUAGGGGCUUCGAGGGGAGGAACUGUAAUGCUCAAUUAUUAUUAUUUUUAUUUUAAUGUUACUCUUCUCUCUUCUUUCUGAGUUUUAACGGAGUUUAAAGUCUUUGUGACAUUUUAGUGUCAAACUUUGGUUUAGAUUCCAAUUUCUGUCUUAUAAAUUGUGAUAUUACAUGACAUCUCUGAGCCAAAGUGUCUCAUCUAUGAAACAGGGAUAAUAAAACCUGUCCCACAUCUUUUUUCUUUUUCUUUUUAUGGCUGUACCUGUGGCUGUGUCCCACAUCUUUUGAGGAAAACAUGGGAUAAUAAACAUAAGGCCAUCAGAAUAAUCCUUCAUACUGAUAAUACUAAUAAAAUAGUGGAUGGCAGUUGCCAACUAAUAGUCCAAUUUGUGCUUCUCUGGUCUACUGGCAUGCAAUGCAGUUAUUGCUCUUCUCACCUACUCAUUUCUGUGCUGGCAUCUGACUGAUCAUGCAUGGUGCAGCCCAAAGCAUCCUAGGCACUGCAACAUUUAUGUUCAUCUAUAUUUCUGUUUUCAUCUAUGCACCUGUGUGCCCAGGCUCGUGCCCAUGGUAGAGAGCUGGCGAGAGCCGGCGAGGUGAUUUUCCAUUCUCUUGUCUUUUAUCUCCUAGUUUUUAAGAAUUUGAUCAUAAGACUAGUCCUUUUCUGCUGUGCAACAAAAGAUAAGCUCCAGUUCUUCUUAAAGUCAGGCUAGCUAUCCAGAUAUAAUACCAGGCUAUGUCUCGUUGAUACUGUCAUGGUGGAGACUGGUGAGACUGUGGACGAAGUUAUGAGGGUUUAGGAGUAAGAGAUUGGUUCUACUUCUUCUAAACCAUGUCUUCAAACAACACAAAAUUAUAUCAUGAUUUAGUGAUUUUUUGAUGUAACUUCAUAGUGAAUUUGCCUUUUCUUAUUAACAUCUAGUAAGGGUAUUACUUAAACAUUUAAAAAACCAAGAUCAAGAAAGUUUAAAUAUCCUAUUCUAGAACACUAGUGAGCUUAGGUUUGUUUUUCGAAUUCCAGUGUUGGAGGGCAUGGCUUCCAUCCCAGAGCCUUUGCUAUGGGGCCCUAGUCUCGCCACCCUUAGUGCUUCAGUGCAGGCCACUUGUACCUUCUUGGCAAACCCCCUUCUGGUGCUGGUAACUGGCUCCAUAACAGCAGGCACCUGUAUCAGAGGCUGCUGAUCACAGCCCAGGCUCCUUGUUUCUUCACAAGCGCCACGUCUCCUGUCCCCCCCCCGCCCAAUUUAUUCUGAACCCUUCAGCAGCUCAGCACAGCCAGCUUGACAGGACCUGUCUUCCUCCACUGUUAAUUUCACAGCCGGAUGAGUAGAAAGGUAAUUUAUAUGGGUCAGUCAGAUUUAAAAUGCUGCUGUGUCUCCUGACGAGGUGGAAUGAGAGGAUUUAAAAGAAUUAUUAGUGUGGUCCAGAGCCGCAGUCUGUGGUCUCUUCGACACAGUCCUAUACCUUUUCCAUUUGGUAAAUGCCCCACGUGGCCUCCACAUGUUGACUGUGGAUUACAACCAAGAUGAGAAGCAAGCCACUGGGGGAAGAUUUUUGUUUUCAUUUAUUUUUAAUUAAUUGCAAACUUCCUCUUUCAUUUGGCUUGCCACGCUCUGCAGAUCCUGGUGACGCAGGGGCUCUGUCAGUAUUAGGAACCACUGUGCCGAACCGCGAGAGGCUUAGAAGUACCAGCCAGCUGCUUUGUACUCGGUCCUCAGGGAAGGUUUGCAAUACAUUUGCGUGCUUGGAAUUCACCUUCAAAAGUGAUCCAAAAACUGAUGUUGUGGAAAUCCACGUUUCUCCUUUUUACCUUCUCUCCUUAAGUUAUAAUGUUUGUGAUUAUAAAUUUUUAUUCAAAACAUAGUUAUUCAUUAAGUGAGUAGAGUGUCUGGAGGCACUUUAAGGUGAAAGUCCACAGAGACUUUUUCUUGCCUUUCAGGUUUUUACUGAAAUCUCUGCAACUAGUAGGUUUAUAUAAGGAAAGGAUGAUUUUGAACAGCAGAAGACCCAAAAAGCCCAACCAACCAACCAACAAACCAAACCACCGCAACGCAGAGAUACUAAAAACAAACAAAUGGAGUUCCCAUCAUGGUUCAGCAGAAACGAAUCUGACUAGCAUCCAUGAGGAUGCAGGUCCGAUCCCUGGCCUCGUUUAGUGGGUUAAGGAUCUAGUGUUGCCUUGAGCUGUGGUGUAGGUCACAGAUUGGCUCGGAUACCACGUUGCUGUGGCUGUGGUAUAGGCCAGUGGCUACAGCUCUGAUUCUAUCCCUAGACUGGGAACCUCCAUAUACCACAGGUGGG
rnacentral:lncRNA from 1 species